AUUGAACGCUGGCGGCAGGCCUACCACAUGCAAGUCGAGCGGAGCGGCCGACGGGUGAGUAAUGCCUAGGACUCUGCCUGGUAGUUGGGGCUAACGUCCGGAAACGGGCGCUAAUACCGCAUACUAUCAGAUGAGACUAGGUCGGAUUAGCUAGUUGGUGGGGUAAAGGCCUACCGAGUCGACGAUCCGUAACUGGCCUGAGAGGAUGAUCAGUCACACUGGAACUGAGACACGGUCCAGAGUCCUACGGGAGGCAGCAGUGGGGAAUAUUGGACAAUGGGCGAAAGCCUGAUCCAGCCAUGCCGCGUGUGUGAAGAAGGUCUUCGGAUUGUAAAGCACUUUAAGUUGGGAGGCGUUACCAACAGAAUAAGCACCGGCUAACUUCGUGCCAGCAGCCGCGGUAAUUC
rnacentral:rRNA from 1 species